rnacentral:lncRNA from 1 species
AUGCUCACUACAAACACCUCUUCAGCCAGAAGCUCAGUUAGCUGCCCGGCGGCCCCCAGUUCAGUCCCCUGCAGCUCAGUCGUUCUCUCAAUCAUCAGUUCCACCUUUACCACAACCACCACUACCUCCUGCUCUCCAGUCAGUUCAGUCUCCUCCUGCUCUCCAGUCAGUUCAGUCUCCUCCUGCUCUCCAGUCAGUUCAGUCUCCUCCUGCUCUCCAGUCAGUUCAGUCUCCUCCUGCUCUCCAGUCAGUUCAGUCUCCUCCUGCUCUCCAGUCAGUUCAGUCUCCUCCUGCUCUCCAGUCAGUUCAGUCUCCUCCUGCUCUCCAGUCAGUUCAGUGCACUCUCUUGUAUUGCCAGCACCUCAGCCACCAUCUCUGCCCACUCCUCAGCCACCAUCUCCGCCCACUCAUUUUCAGGAGGAGAAUAGCCCCACACCGACUGUUGUUGCUCCUCCAGACCUGGCUAAAUUUGAGACUUUUACUCUUUCUGGGGCCUCCCCAGAGGUUGAAUAUCAGCGUUCAGUUAACUCUGGCCCCCUGGAUAUAAAGAAGCCAGCUGAGGACUGCACCCGGCUGUCGCUGCCUGAGCUGAGUCAAUGCUCUGUGCAGCUGCAGUCUGCUAUGUGUUUGCCAGAGGCCCGUGUGCCUGCUGGUUCUGUUCCGUCCCUGCCAGAGGCCCGUGUGCCUGCUGGUUCUGUUCCGUCCCUGCCAGAGGCCCACGUGCCUGCUGGUUCUGUUCCGUCCCUGCCAGAGGCCCACGUGCCCGCUGGUUCAGCCCUGUGUGUGCCAGGGCCCCGGUGCCCACUGGUUCUGAGACUGUUUUCGCUGGAGGGCCCGAGGAGCCCGUCCAGCUCCCUGCCUCGUCAGCCGGAGGUUCAGGAGAACCUAGCCAGCUUCCUGCCUCGUCAGCCGGAGGGCCCGAGGAGCCCGUCCAGCCUCCUGCCUCGUCAGCUGGAGGUUCUGGAGAACCUAGACAGCUUCCUGCUUCAUCAUCCUCGCCAGCUACAGCUUCAUCCACGCCGCCUGCAGCAGCCUCCUCAUCUGUUUCAGCGCCGCCUGCAGCAGCAGCAGCUUCUUCCGCGUCGCCGGCAGCAGCCUCCUCAUCAGCUCCAUCAGCGUCGCCGGCAGCAGCAGCUGUUUCACCCACCCCGUCGCCUGCAGCGCCACCAUCUCCGGCUUCCAUGCCGUCGCCUGCAGCGCCAUUCUCACCUGGUCCAGCCUCAUCGUUUGCUUUGCCAUCGCCUGCUCCAGCCUCUGCUUCGGCCUCAUCCUCACCUGGUCCCGCUUCGGCUUCGGCGUCGCCUGCAGUGGCCUCCUCUUCGGCUUCAUCAGCUUCAUUUGGCCCAGCCUCUGCAUCGGCUUCGCCUUCACCUGGCCCAGCUUCAGCUUCACCCACGCCGUCGCCUGGUCCAGCAGCGGCUCCAUCCUCCACGCCUGGUCCAGCAGCGGCUCCAUCCUCCACGCCUGGUCCAGCAGCGGGCCUCCGGGUCAGCCCCCUGA